rnacentral:rRNA from 1 species
ACGGGGGGUGCAAGCGUUACUCGGAAUCACUGGGCGUAAAGAGCAUGUAGGCGGAUUAAUAAGUUUGAAGUGAAAUCCUAUAGCUUAACUAUAGAACUGCUUUGAUAACUGUUAAUCUAUAAUGUAAGAGAGUGAGAUGGUAUUUCUGGUGUAUGGGUAAAAUCCGUAGAGAUGAGAAGGAAUACCAAUUGCGAAGGCGAUCUACUGGAACAUUAUUGGCGCGCAGAUGCGAAAACGUGGGGAACACAGAG